rnacentral:tRNA from 1 species
UCCCUGGUGGCUCAGAUGGUAAAGAAUCUGCCUGCAAUGCAGGAGACCUAUGUUCGAUCCCUGAGUCAGGGAA